UUAGUGGCGGACGGGUGAGUAACGCGUGGGUAACCUGCCUUGUACUGGGGGAUAACAGUCAGAAAUGACUGCUAAUACCGCAUAUGCGCACAGAACCGCAUGGUUCAGUGUGGAAAACUCCGGUGGUACAGGAUGGACCCGCGUUGGAUUAGCUAGUUGGUGGGGGAGAGGCUCACCAAGGCGACGAUCCAUAGCCGGCCUGAGAGGGUGAACGGCCACAUUGGGACUGAGAUACGGCCCAGACUCCUACGGGAGGCAGCAGUCGGGAAUAUUGCGCAAUGGAGGUAACUCUGACGCAGUGACGCCGCGUGCAGGAAGAAGGUUUUCGGAUUGUAAACUGCUUUAGACAGGGAAGAAACAAGACAGUACCUGUAGAAUAAGCUCCGGCUAACUACGUGCCAGCAGCCGCGGUAAUACGUAGGGAGCAAGCGUUAUCCGGAUUUAUUGGGUGUAAAGGGUGCGUAGACGGGAAUGCAAGUUGGUUGUGAAAUCCCUCGGCUCAACCGAGGAAUUGCAACCAAAACUAUAUUUCUUGAGUGCUGGAGAGGAAAGUGGAAUUCCUAGUGUAGCGGUGAAAUGCGUAGAUAUUAGGAGGAACACCAGUGGCGAAGGCGACUUUCUGGACAGUAACUGACGUUGAGGCACGAAAGUGUGGGGAGCAAACAGGAUUAGAUACCCUGGUAGUCCACACCGUAAACGAUGGAUACUAGGUGUAGGGGAUGAAUAAUCUUCUGUGCCGUCGCAAACGCAGUAAGUAUCCCACCUGGGGAGUACGGCCGCAAGGUUGAAACUCAAAGGAAUUGACGGGGGCCCGCACAAGCAGUGGAGUAUGUGGUUUAAUUCGACGCAACGCGAAGAACCUUACCAGGGCUUGACAUAUACAUGAAGAUCUAAGAGAUUAGAUCCCUCUUCGGAGCAUGUAUACAGGUGGUGCAUGGUUGUCGUCAGCUCGUGUCGUGAGAUGUUGGGUUAAGUCCCGCAACGAGCGCAACCCCUGUUCUUAGUUGCCAGCAUGUAAAGAUGGGAACUCUAAGAAGACUGCCGGUGAUAAAUCGGAGGAAGGUGGGGACGACGUCAAAUCAUCAUGCCCUUUAUGUCCUGGGCUACACACGUACUACAAUGGCUGUAACAAAGGGAAGCGAACCCGCGAGGAGGAGCAUAACCCAUAAAAGCAGUCUCAGUUCGGAUUGAAGGCUGAAAUUCGCCUUCAUGAAGCCGGAAUUGCUAGUAAUGGCAGGUCAGCAUACUGCCGUGAAUACGUUCCCGGGCCUUGCACUCACCGCCCGUCA
rnacentral:rRNA from 1 species